CCGGAUCCAGCCGCCGCCGGUCCUCCAACGACCGGAUCCGUGGCGGGGCCAGCCUCCGGUGCCUCCGCGGGCUCCACGCUGCCUGGACCAGCGCCGCCUCGUCCGGAUCUGCCGCCACCGGCCCUCCUCCGCCUCGUGCCGACGCGCGGGAGGUACACGGAGCGCACCUCCGCCGCCGCCAGGACCGUCGCCGAGGUCGUGCGUGCGUGCCACGCCCAGGGGUCAUGCACCGGGACCUCAAGCCCGAGAAGUUCCUGUACGCGGGCAAGAGCCCAGACGCACGACUCAAGGCCAUCGACUUCGGCCUCUCCGUCUUCUUCAGACUAGCUUUUAGUGGCUUUAAAAGUUCGCUACCCUCACAGGAUCACCAUUCUCAGAGGGAACCAUGAAAGACGACAGAUUACUCAAGUUUAUGGAUUCUAUGAUGAGUGUCUAAGGAGAAAUUGACUCAAGAUUGGCCGGAAGUGAUUGAUUGAAGGCUGGCGGUAAAUUUCAGUUCAGACUAAGGGUCGCUGCAAGUGAUUGAUUGAAGAAUGGCAGGAAAUUUCUGUUCGGCAAAAGCAAAUCCAUCUCUUGUAGGUUUAUACUGUAUUCUUUGUAUUAGCAGAUUUUUGGAGCUAUGAAGCCUAGACGAUUAUAAUUUGUAUUUAAUUAACAUUUGGUGUGUAUGCAUUGGCUGCUGUUUAUGGGCUUUAUUGAAAGUAGAAAUGGGCUUGGCCCAUAAAUGAUUGCUCAUAUUGGAUGUUGAAAUGGCUUGGGCCAAAACAGUUAAAUAUGUUGAACGUCUUCAAA